UACAGAGGUGGCAAGCGUUGUUCGGAAUCACUGGGCUUAAAGCGCGUGUAGGCGGGACGGAAGGUGUUUGGUGAAAUCCCCGGGCUCAACCCGGGAACUGCCGGGCAAACCAACGUCCUUGAGGCAGGUAGAGGUGGUCGGAACCUUAGGUGGAGCGGUGAAAUGCGUAGAUAUCUAAGGGAACGCCGGUGGCGAAAGCGGAUCACUGGGCCUGUCCUGACGCUGAGACGCGAAAGCGUAGGGAGCAAACGGG
rnacentral:rRNA from 1 species